AGUGAACGCUGGCGGUAGGCCUAACACAUGCAAGUCGAACGGCAGCACAGUAAGAGCUUGCUCUUACGGGUGGCGAGUGGCGGACGGGUGAGGAAUACAUCGGAAUCUACUUUUCGUGGGGGAUAACGUAGGGAAACUUUCGCUAAUACCGCAUACGACCUACGGGUGAAAGCAGGGGAUCCUCGGACCUUGCGCGAUUGAAUGAGCCGAUGUCGGAUUAGCUAGUUGGCGGGGUAAAGGCCCACCAAGGCGACGAUCCGUAGCUGGUCUGAGAGGAUGAUCAGCCACACUGGAACUGAGACACGGUCCAGACUCCUACGGGAGGCAGCAGUGGGGAAUAUUGGACAAUGGGCGCAAGCCUGAUCCAGCCAUACCGCGUGGGUGAAGAAGGCCUUCGGGUUGUAAAGCCCUUUUGUUGGGAAAGAAAAGCAGCAGGUUAAUACCCCGCUGUUCUGACGGUACCCAAAGAAUAAGCACCGGCUAACUUCGUG
rnacentral:rRNA from 1 species